rnacentral:tRNA from 1 species
GGGCUGGUGGCUCAGUGGUAGAGCGCGUCGUUCGCAACGACGAGGUCGCGAGUUCGACUCUCGCCCAGUCCAC